rnacentral:lncRNA from 1 species
GGAAACCUGGUGUGAGGGACAGAACAGGAAGGAAGCAGGCUCCUACGUCCUCGAGCUUGGGCCCACCUUGCCCGGAUAUCAGCCAAGCUUCAAACUGGCCUGGCUUUCGGACCCUCCUGCAGCAGCUUCCACCACAGGACAGUGAUGAACGCUACUGUUUGGCCCUAGGGGAGGAGGAACUGGCCCAACUUCGACUUUUCUGUGCCCAGCGGAAGCAGAAAUCUCUGGGACAGGGGGUGGCCCGUCUACUGCCUCCUAAGCUUGAAGGCCACACUUGUGAGAAGUGCAAGAAGCUGCUGAACCCAGGGGAGUAUGGAGUGUUCGCCGCCAGGGCCGGAGAGCGGUGCUGCUGGCACAGACCUUGUUUUGCCUGCCAGGCCUGUGGCCAGGCCCUGACAAACCUCAUCUACUUCUACCACGAUGGGCACCUGUACUGUGGCCGUCAUCACGCAGAGCUGCUGCGACCUCGAUGUCCGGCUUGUGACCAGCGCUGCACCGAGGCCGAGGGACGACACUGGCACGAGAACCACUUCUGCUGCCAAGACUGCGCAGAGCCCCUGGAUGGGGGACGUUAUGCCCUGCCGGGGGGUAGCCCGUGCUGCCCCAGCUGCUUUGCGAGACGCUACAGAAGUGGGGGCUCUAGCUCAAUAGGGGCAGCGGAAGGACAGGCGUCCCUUG